AUUGAACGCUGGCGGCAUGCCUAACACAUGCAAGUCGAGCGGAUGAAGGGAGCUUUCUCCUGGAUUCCGCGGCGGACGGGUGAGUAAUUCCUAGGAAUCUGCCUUGUAGUUGGGGAUAACGUCCGUAAACGGGCGCUAAUACCGCAUACGUCCUGAUGUUGAAAGUGGGGGAUCUUCGGACCUCACGCUAUCAGAUGAGCCUAGGUCGGAUUAGCUAGUUGGUGGGGUAACGGCCUACCAAGGCGACGAUCCGUAACUGGUCUGAGAGGAUGAUCAGUCACACUGGAACUGAGACACGGUCCAGACUCCUACGGGAGGCAGCAGUGGGGAAUAUUGGACAAUGGGCGAAAGCCUGAUGCAGCAAUGCCGCGUGUGUGAAGAAGGUCUUCGGAUUGUAAAGCACUUUAAGUUGGGAGGAAGGGAAGUAAGUUAAUACAUUGAUGUUUUGACGUUACCAACAGAAUAAGCACCGGCUAACUUCGUG
rnacentral:rRNA from 1 species